UACGGGGGGAGCAAGCGUUGUUCGGAUUUACUGGGCGUAAAGGGCGCGUAGGCGGCCACUGCAAGUCAGUUGUGAAAUCUCCGGGCUUAACCCGGAAAGGUCAACUGAUACUGCAGGGCUAGAGUGCAGAAGGGGCAACUGGAAUUCUCGGUGUAGCGGUGAAAUGCGUAGAUAUCGAGAGGAACACCUGCGGCGAAGGCGGGUUGCUGGGCUGACACUGACGCUGAGGCGCGAAAGCGUGGGGAGCAAACGGG
rnacentral:rRNA from 1 species